rnacentral:rRNA from 1 species
GACGUAGGGCGCGAGCGUUGUCCGGAUUUAUUGGGCGUAAAGAGCUCGUAGGCGGCUCGUUGCGUCAACCGUGAAAACCCGAGGCUCAACCUCGGGCCUGCAGUGGGUACGGGCAGACUAGAGUGUGGUAGGGGAGACUGGAAUUCCUGGUGUAGCGGUGGAAGUGCGCAGAUAUCAGGAGGAACACCAAUGGCGAAGGCAGGUCUCUGGGCCACAACUGACGCUGGAGGAGCGAAAGCGUGGGGAGCGAACAGG